UGCAUGGUUGUCGUCAGCUCGUGUCGUGAGAUGUUGGGUUAAGUCCCGCAACGAGCGCAACCCUUAAGCUUAGUUGCCAUCAUUAAGUUGGGCACUCUAAGUUGACUGCCGGUGACAAACCGGAGGAAGGUGGGGAUGACGUCAAAUCAUCAUGCCCCUUAUGAUUUGGGCUACACACGUGCUACAAUGGACAAUACAAAGGGCAGCGAAACCGCGAGGUCAAGCAAAUCCCAUAAAGUUGUUCUCAGUUCGGAUUGUAGUCUGCAACUCGACUACAUGAAGCUGGAAUCGCUAGUAAUCGUAGAUCAGCAUGCUACGGUGAAUACGUUCCCGGGUCUUGUACAC
rnacentral:rRNA from 1 species